UAGCAUAAUCAUUUGUCUUUUAAUUGAAGACUAGAACAAAAGAUUAAACAUUUUAAUUAAUAUAUUUAAAUUAAUAAAUUAAAAUUAUUCUAAAUGUAAAAAAACAUUUAUAAAUUAGGAAGACGAUAAGACCCUAUUAAACUUAACUUUAGUUAAACUGGGGCAGUUAAUUAAUUAUUAUUUUAAUUUAAAAAAUUAAACAAAUAGAUCCUAUAAAAUAGAUCAAAUGAUCAAGUUACUAUAGGGAUAACAGCGUAAUAUUAAUUUAAAGAUCUUAUUAAAAUAAAAGAUUACGACCUCGAUGUUGAAUUAAUAACCUAUAUUGUUGCAAUAAACAA
rnacentral:rRNA from 1 species